GGAUAUGAGGGUGAUCUGGCUGCAACAUCUGUCUCCCCUUUGAUUGCCAGGGUUGAUUUGGCUGAUCUGGCUGGCUAAGAAGGUAUGCCCUUCCUCUGUCACUGCUCUAUGUGUGUCCCUCUUGAAGCUGCAUGCUCAGUGAUAGAGGAUGACCAUCCCCAAUAGAGGAAGACAGGACAAGGGUAUACGAGUAGGAGUAGCUGCGCUCCCCUGCUAGAACCUCCAAACAAGCUCUCGUGUGCUUAUUGGUCAUUCGUAUAUCUUCUUUGGAGGAAUGUCUGUUCAAGACUUUUGACCAUUUUUUAUUCAGAUUGUUUGAUUUUUGUUUAUU
rfam:Pongo abelii chromosome 1.